UGUUGCUUUCCCCCCCCACAGGUGAACCCAGAGUGCCCAGAGCUGACAGCGACCCUGGAUGGCUCCACCCUGGCUGGGCCUUGGCGCUCGGGGGAGGGGCGGCCACGCCCCAGCCACACCUGGCUCUGUGACCUCUCUGCCCUGCCCACCGAGAGCCCCGCCCACCUGGAGGUCACCUGGGGGCCUGACUCCGCCCACCACGAGGUGACACUGUUGCCAGGUGAGGCUGAAGCUUGGUGG